rnacentral:rRNA from 1 species
UACAGAGGUCUCAAGCGUUGUUCGGAUUCAUUGGGCGUAAAGGGUGUGUAGGUGGCGCCGUAAGUCGGGUGUGAAAUUUCGGAGCUUAACUCCGAAACUGCAUUCGAUACUGCGGUGCUUGAGGACUGGAGAGGAGACUGGAAUUCAUGGUGUAGCAGUGAAAUGCGUAGAGAUCAAUGAGGAGGACCAGUGGCGAAGGCGGGUCUCUGGACAGUUCCUGACACUGAGGCACGAAGGCCAGGGGAGCAAACGGG